GUGGGGAAUAUUGGACAAUGGGCGCAAGCCUGAUCCAGCCAUGCCGCGUGUGUGAAGAAGGCCUUUUGGUUGUAAAGCACUUUAAGCGAGGAGGAGGCUACCGAGAUUAAUACUCUUGGAUAGUGGACGUUACUCGCAGAAUAAGCACCGGCUAACUCUGUGCCAGCAGCCGCGGUAAUACAGAGGGUGCAAGCGUUAAUCGGAUUUACUGGGCGUAUAGCGCGCGUAGGUGGCCAAUUAAGUCAAAUGUGAAAUCCCCGGUCUUAACUUGGGAAUUGCAUUCGAUACUGGUUGGCUAGAGUAUGGGAGAGGAUGGUAGAAUUCCAGGUGUAGCGGUGAAAUGCGUAGAGAUCUGGAGGAAUACCGAUGGCGAAGGCAGCCAUCUGGCCUAAUACUGACACUGAGGUGCGAAAGCAUGGGGAGCAAACAGGAUUAGAUACCCCGGUAGUCC
rnacentral:rRNA from 1 species